GAGGGUAUAGGUCAGUGGUAAGAGUGUGUGCUUAGCAAGCACAAGGUCCUGGGUUCAAUCCCAGGUACCUCUG
rnacentral:tRNA from 1 species